GCUUUUUUCCCUCACAGGGUUUUUGUGCGUGGAGCUGAAGGCAGCAUGGGGACUCGCCUGGGCUGGGCACCCGGGACGGCCGGGUGCUGGGAGCGAUGCUGAGCCCCGACCCCUCUGCAGCGGGAGAGGGCCGGGAGAGCGGGAGGCUUUCAGCUGGUCACAAGGAAUGAGAGGAUGAAGGUCCCGAGGCACGGCUGUGCUGCACGGCAUUCCCGGUGCCUGCUCCUGCAUGGCUGCUGUGGCUCUCACCCCCCUGCCAAAGCCACCAGCGCGACCGGGGGUGGAGACAGCGGAAGGCUGCUGCGCAGGGCGAGGGCAGAGCCACCUGCGGGCGCUCCGUGCUGCGGGGCAGGGCAUGGAGCAGGACAAGGAGAGCCAUCGCACGCAGUUAGCGGCCAGUGAGAUGGUGCGGGGACGAGACGGCGCUGUCAGCAGCGGGCUGUGAAGGCACCGGCUGUGACGGAGCGUGAUCCCCCCGGGAAGCGGUGUCUGAGCCCCGGGAUCAGCCGGGGGCAGCGGGUUGGCGAGAUGCCGACGGUACGGGGUGCGGAUGGUCUGAGCCGCAGGAGCUCCGCCGCUUUCCUGCGGGAGAUAUCUACUGAAUACAUGGGUGCUGCGCUGCUGCUGCCUGCGCUCAGCCCAGCCUCCUCGCAGCACGAGCAGCAAAGCUCAGCCUGGAGCAUGUUUUUGUGACAUGCCCAAAACAGCACGAAAUUGCACAAAUCCCUGGUUUCCCAUUGUAAGAAAACCCUUUCAAGUGUGGAAGAGGAGGGAGAGGUGCGAAAGCUGCCGUGAGGUUUCCGCCUGCUCCUGCUUUCUCCAAGGGCAUCUCUUACAGCCACGUACCGCGGCCUCCUGGCUCCUUUGCCCUUUAGCACGAGAAGUCAUUUGUCAGCAACAGAAAAAAAGUUUUG